GCCUACGGGAGGCAGCAGUAGGGAAUUUUCGUCAAUGGGCGCAAGCCUGAACGAGCAAUGCCGCGUGAACGAGGAAGGUCUUCGGAUCGUAAAGUUCUGUUGAAGGGGAAAAAGAGCGGAGAGAGGAAAUGGUCUCCGAUUGAUAUUACCCUUCGAGGAAGUCACGGCUAACUACGUGCCAGCAGCCGCGGUAAUACGUAGGUGGCGAGCGUUAUUCGGAAUGAUUGGGCGUAAAGGGUGCGUAGGCGGCCUGCUAAGUCUGGAGUGAAAGGCACCGGCUCAACCGGUACAGGCUCUGGACACUG
rnacentral:rRNA from 1 species